UUGUACCAUUUGUGUUUGUGAUUCCUAAUCCCUGGAAAACCUUCAAAAUGCUGGUUCUAAGCCAACCACCAGUUUCCAGCAAUAGAUGCUGCAAUUCCUGCACUUCAUCAUCUUCUUCAUCAAUCUCUUCUUCCUUCAAAUUCUCCCAUUCAAAACCUGUCAUUACACUUUUUCCCAAACGCAAUCUUAAAUCCAAAUUUACAAUUAAAACUCGAUUUCCUCUCACUAUUGCUAAAUCUUCCGAUGUUUCUGACCCUGUUACUAAACAAUCUGCACCUUCAUCUUCUUUCCCCAAUAACGAUACUGUUUUUGUUGGCCCAGAUUCUGUUCCUCUUGAAGGGGUUAUCCAAAUAGAUAAGCCAUCUUCUUCUCGUUUUCAGAAAUGGGGGCAGGUUGCAUUAUUAGCAGGUGGAGAUGUUUUAGCUCUGCUUAUGUUUGCUGCAAUUGGAAGGUUUAGCCAUGGUUUUUCUGUUUUUGACCCUGAAACACUGCGUACUGCUGAUCCUUUCAUUGCGGGUUGGUUUCUUAGUGCAUACUUCCUCGGAGGUUAUAGUGAGGAUGGCCGAGGAAUGAAUGGUUGGAAUAAGGCAAUUUUUGCAGUUGCCAAAUCAUGGGCCGUGGGUAUACCAAUGGGGUUGGGUAUACGCGCGUUGACUGCAUCACAUUUGCCUCCCACCAAUUUUAUUUUGGUGACUCUAGGAAGCACAGCAGUUCUGCUGAUUGGUUGUAGGACGCUAUUGUAUCAAAUUCUUCCACGCGACAAGAGCAAGAAAGAUGAUAUGUACAAAAGGGGAAGUCCAUUUGAACUUUUUGAGCUGCUGACAUCACUGGUUAGGAGGUGGUGACUCAUGGUUUUGUGCCUGAAAUUUGAGGUUCUCUUUCAGUGAUGAAUGAUGAUACAUUUGGGAACAUUGAUAACAACUUGUUGCUUCAUUUUUGGUGAAAUCUGAAGAAGGAAGUUUGUUAUGUUCCCAGAAAGGAAGUCCACAAGCAAAUUGCCUCUCUCGUCAAGCGCGAACGGAACGGAGAUUCCCUUGCAGCUUAGACUCUUUAGGCUCAGUGCCUCCCUGAUCUUUACAGAUGAAGCUAUCAUAUUUAAUUUUAGUUAGUUAUUUCUUUGCCAGGAUGUGUCCUUAGACCUUUUAUUUGCUUAUGUGGUUUAUCCUCCUCCACCUAUUGUAAAGGAUUAUGAGAACUGUGUUUUCACUUUUGAUAUACCCAAACUAUUUUUUACUUUAUAAUAUGUUGCCUUAUUUCCAAGAU